UGUGCAGGCGGUUUUGUUAGUCUUUCGUAAAAGCUCUUGGGCCUAACCCAGGAAAUGCGAAGGAAACGGCAAAACUUAGAGGGCGCGAGAGGUGCACGGAACUCAUGGUGUAGGGGUGAAAUCCGUUGAUAUCAUGGGGAACACCAAAUGCGAAGGCAGUGCACUAGCGCGUUCCUGACGCUCAGACACGAAAGCGUAGGUAGCGAACG
rnacentral:rRNA from 1 species